GAUGAAGAACGUAGCGAAAUGCGAUAAGUAAUGUGAAUUGCAGAAUUCAGUGAAUCAUCGAAUCUUUGAACGCACAUUGCGCCCGCCAGUAUUCUGGCGGGCAUGCCUGUUCGAGCGUCAUUUCAACCAUCAAGCCCCAGGCUUGUGUUGGGGACCUGCGGCUGCCGCAGGCCCUGAAAACCAGUGGCGGGCUCGCUGUCACACCGAGCGUAGUAGAUUUUAUCUCGCUCAGGGCGUGCUGCGGGUUCCGGCCGUUAAAAAGCCUUUUUUACCCAAGGUUGACCUCGGAUCAGGUAGGAAGACCCGCUGAACUUAAGCAUAUCAAUAAGCGGAGGA
rnacentral:misc_RNA from 1 species